ACAAGGGCAUCCGCGCGAUUGGGCUUCCAAGUCUACCCAGCACUUAAAAAAGUGGCUGGCAAGACUAUGGCAGUCCACUUGCUCUCAUGUCUCU
rnacentral:pre_miRNA from 13 species